rnacentral:lncRNA from 1 species
CAGCUAAGCUAGGAAAAUCACUUUGACAUGGUGGCACGGGGAAAGCAGUUUCUAUUGAAGAGCUGAACGUAAUGAGUGCUUGACUUGAAACAUUGGCGGGUAACUUGUCUAAUAGUGCUUGGCUGCUACUCUUUCUUCCAGCUUUUCUUUCCAUCUCUUGAUAACUUGCCUGGAGAUGAUGAACUAUUAAACUCUUUUUAUCUGAAAUUUCCUUUUAAUUUUCUAGAAAAUGCUGUGAUCGCCCACCACGGGUGCGCGCUACCGCGCACCCCCAUGUUGUGUCUCACUUUCUGGUUUGUGUUACAGUUAAAUGAUGUAUUCUUAUGGAGGAGGCAAAAUAUGUACUUGAAGAAGUCCUUCCCAAGUAUAAAUUUUGAUGUAAGUGCUAUCUACAGGGAAAAACCGCAGCUUGAACUUUCAUGCUAUGACUUAAGUUCUAGUUUGGUUAGUGUGAUAUUUGGUUAUGCCUAUGUUCCCCAACUUGAUCACAACUUUACGCUGUCACCACCUAUCUAGACGAAGUUCAAUGGCUAAACAAUAUCUGAUGAGAGAAAUACUAACUCGUGAUUUGGUGAAUACUGAACUGGAUAAUCUGGAGUUGAUUUCCUCGAGUUAAAAAGGAAAGAUAUGUUUUGAAGCCAGAAUAUGAAACGUUUUGGUGCUUAUUAGUUUCUUUUUAGCUGUUAACACAAAAACUGAGAGUGAAUUGGUUGGAGAAGACGCAUGGAGGACACACUCGCACUAUAGCAGGGAAUGGGAAGCAUAUUUAAGUGACCGCACUGAAACCAGAUCAAGUAUGAUUAACACAGGAUAAGGAUCUUCCCACUAUAUUUAGAGCUAGUGACCUUAAAUGUUUGUAUAUGAACCUUUCCAAAUGAGCAAAAAUCUAAAAGAUGACAAUGCCGAAGGAAAAGCCGUAUAAUUGAUCCCUGAUUUUUUACAUUUGGUGCAUACUUGUUAGAGCUGUAUGCUGGUAAAAGUUUCCAAAAUGCAGUGAGAUUGUUAUAUCAUAAAGGGAUGAGUUAAGCCUUGGCCGUAAAAUUACCCGGUACCUAUAUUGAUGUUUGGCUUGAUAUUUGUUUGUUGAUGUUAAAUCCUUAGUGAUACUGCCUCCCCUACCUAUUCAUCUUUCGUCUUCUUUUUGUUUUCUUUUCUAAAAAGAUAACGUCGGUAAGUGUUUGGGCCAGUUUUUGCAACCUUGAUUAUUUCACAGGAUACUUGCUAUCUCUCAUCAGCACAUGUACUGUGCAACUCUGCCUACCAAGGCAUAGAUAGAUGAGAAGAAAUUCCCAACCUAUUCCUCUUCUAGGAUGUAAAUGAUAAAAAAGUAGUGAUAGAAUUGUUAUGUUGCGAUAUCUAAAUAUCUCAUAUGCUCUUUUUGUACUUUUGUAGGCUAUGUCGGAGACGGAUCCAGGAUUUCAAGAGGAUGGGUGCACUAUUGUGAAGAAGUGGAUCUAGAAUUUACAUUUGAUGUGUUUAACUUUAGGCCGAUAUUUUUGAAAUUAUAGGUUCAAAAUUAUAUACUUGUUAACAUUUUGGUAAUUUUCACGUAUAUAUCUAUAUCCCGUGCCGCGGAAAACAAAAUUGUCCAACGUGGGAUUUGAACUACCAAUUCCACUAAUAGACGUG